rnacentral:rRNA from 1 species
GAUGAACGCUAGCUACAGGCUUAACACAUGCAAGUCGCAGGGUAACAUGAGGAAAGCUUGCUUUCCUUGAUGACGACUGGCGCACGGGUGAGUAACGCGUAUCCAACCUUCCCAUAACUACGGGAUAACCCGUUGAAAGACGGCCUAAUACCGUAUGAUAUCGUUUGCUGACAUCAAAUAACGAUUAAAGGUUUAGCGGUUAUGGAUGGGGAUGCGUCUGAUUAGCUUGUUGGCGGGGUAACGGCCCACCAAGGCGACGAUCAGUAGGGGUUCUGAGAGGAAGGUCCCCCACAUUGGAACUGAGACACGGUCCAAACGCCUACGGGAGGCAGCAGUGAGGAAUAUUGGUCAAUGGGCGAGAGCCUGAACCAGCCAAGUAGCGUGCAGGACGACGGCCCUAUGGGUUGUAAACUGCUUUUAUGUGGGGAUAAAGUGCGUGACGUGUCAUGCAUUGCAGGUACCACAUGAAUAAGGACCGGCUAAUUCCGUG